rnacentral:rRNA from 1 species
ACGGUCCUAAGGUAGCGAAAUUCCUUGUCGGGUAAGUUCCGACCUGCACGAAUGGUGUAAUGAUGGCCAGGCUGUCUCCACCAGAGACUCAGUGAAAUUGAAAUUGCGGUGAAGAUGCCGUAUACCCGCGGCUAGACGGAAAGACCCCGUGAACCUUUACUAUAGCUUGGCACUGAACAUUGACCCUACAUGUGUAGGAUAGGUGGGAGACUUUGAAGUUGGGACGCCAGUCCUGAUGGAGUCGUCCUUGAAAUACCACCCUUGUAUGUUUGAUGUUCUAACGUAGGUCCCUAAUCGGGAUUGCGGACAGUGUCUGGUGGGUAGUUUGACUGGGGCGGUCUCCUCCUAAAGAGUAACGGAGGAGCACGAAGGUUGGCUAAGUACGGUCGGACAUCGUACGGUUAGUGCAAAGGCAGAAGCCAGCUUAACUGCGAGACAGACACGUCGAGCAGGUACGAAAGUAGGUCUUAGUGAUCCGGUGG